rfam:Cicer arietinum chromosome Ca5, whole genome shotgun sequence.
AGCCGUGUGAUAAGCUCAAAGCGAACUAUUCUUUCGCCUUUUACUAAAGAAUACCGUGCGCUUGUCACUUAUAGCGGCAUACGAUAAUUUUUGAAAGGGUUCUCUUGAUUGAGGGCU